AGAAAAGAUUUUUUUUAAAAGCAAAAAGUGAAAAGAGAAACUGGACAUGGCGGUGCACAGCUUUAAUCCCGGCACUGGGGAGGCAGAGUGACCUGGCUGGCUGGGAACUCAGUAGCUGAGGAUGACCUUGAACUUCUGAACACUCCCCAAGCCUUGGGUUAUAAUUGGGUUAUAAAGCACAAACCACCUGGUCUAA